ensembl:ncRNA lncRNA:CR44515 long non-coding RNA:CR44515
AUUUGCACCGAAAAUGGUUACACCUUUGGUUUGCAUUUCCAUUGCUGCCUUCGAUGGAAUCCUUUCCCAUUGACCCACAUUCGGGUCAUCAAGUGAUGCCCACAUAUGGACAGGAUUCUUGCAAAAAGGACUCGCUACGUCCCGCAUCCUUCGGCCAUUCUCCUCCAGUGCGUGAGUCCUGAAACACGAGGGAAAUCAAAGGACAUGGCGUCAAUCAGUUUUCCACUAAACCAGGCACACAUGUCGGUCACCUCCUGCGGGCUCCGCUGCCUCCCCUCCCUUUCUGCGACUCCUGUGGAUUUUGCCUCUUUUCCCAAUCUCCAUCGAGUGGAAAACUUGGCAGCAAUUGGCGACCGGCAGUUGAAGUAUGACUACCUUCUUUCUCGCAAAAAAAAAAAAUAGAUAGUUAAACUUUGCUCUGCUGGGCUAUUGAUGUAUUUCGACUGCUUGCAGUUGGUAUUUACAUUUGCCCAACUAUUUCAUUGUUUGUCCAUUUUGCAGGAUGAAUGUGCUUUGAUUUCGAUUUCAUUGCACACAGGUGCGCACGAGGACAAUUCGGUUCGGUAAAUGCUGUUUGAUCCAGGCAGUCAGUUGUAGUUAUCCUGUAGUUUGGUCCUUGCACUCAGAAAAAUGAAAUUUAUGUUUCAUUUAAAAAUAUAUCAUAUAUACAAAGAAAAGAAACAUUAAGAAAUGUAAGAGAAACACACUUCUUUAAAUAUAUUAUAUAUAUACAUAUAUAUUUAUAUUAUAUUAUUAUAUAUAU